GCGCUGCUCUGCUUCGGCUUAGCUCGUUCGUAAUGCAUUAGCAUCCGCAACCGAAACUUCGGAUUGACUUGGCGUAAUAGACUAUUCGCUGAGGAUUCCAGACUUGUUCUGGAGCCGAGUUGGGUUAAAGGAAGCUUCUAAUCCUAAAGUCUAUUUUUUGAUUAGAUCUCAAAUCAGGUAGGACUACCCGCUGAACUUAA
rnacentral:misc_RNA from 1 species